CGACAUCGCUUUUGGUCAGUCACAAAUGUACGUGGUAAGAUGAGGUUUGAUUUUGUGUAGGAUGGUAGGAUGUAUGGAUAAGCUGACUGUGGGUUAUGACAGUGAGUUCGAAACAAUAUUCAGGUGCAGAAAUAUUAAAGGUUAAAGAUGCAAAAACACGAAGUACCGAACGGGGAAUAUUACAACGUUUUAAAACAGGACAAUUUAUCAUUGCACCAAAAGAAAUUCGUCAAGUGCCAGGUUUUCAUCACUGAGUGAGAUGGAGGCCUAUCAAGUCUGAAGAGCAACUUUCUGAAACACUUCUUGACAGCGGGAAAGACAAUUUAUCAUUAUAUCUAAAGAAAUGCUGGAAGCAUUUGUCCGAUUAUGCAUCACUGAGAGAGGUGGCUGCCUCGAGUCUAAAGAGCAAUUUUCUAAAACACUGCUUGAAAGAGUCAUUGCAUCAAACGGAAUCGACAUUGGUAUACUAAUAGUCUGGUGCAUCACGGAGUGAGACGGAAGCCUAUAUAUAUAAAGAUUAAAGAGCAAGAUUCCUCAAUUAAGGAACGUGACGACUCUUUCUGUUUUUCAAAAGAAAAUAAAACUCAAUUAUUCAAAUAUGAAGAAAGUCUUAUUAAAGAUGACUAAGAUGUGCUAGCCAACAAAUGCAUCGAGUCCACACACAAGACUUUGAUAUUGAAAAAGUCACUAUUUGUUUGAGACUGUAUCUCAUUGCCCUACGCAUUAAGCUCGUAUGCAUGUGCACUGAUUACUAAUAUGUGGUAGCAAACAAAUGCAUUGGGCAGCACGCACAAAUGCCUUUAUAUCAAAUAAGACUGUUGUUUAAAGCUAUACCAAAAUGCCAUACACACUGUAAAAGAAAUAUAUGCAAAAGUUUAAAUGGGUCAACUCGUGAGGAACUAACUAUUUGUGUAUAUUGAAUAAUUGCAAACAGAUUCUUGAUUGUAUAUUUAUUAAUGAAUUGAAUCAUAGCUCAGAAAACUAAAUAAAUUGUUAUUUGUAUUUUAUCACCCUGCAAUGUAAUCCUAUAUUUGAUGUCCUGGUAUGAAAAAUUUA